rnacentral:misc_RNA from 1 species
GAAAUGCGAUAAGUAAUGUGAAUUGCAGAAUUCAGUGAACCAUCGAAUCUUUGAACGCACAUUGCGCCCCUCGGGUCUCCCGGGGGGCAUGCCUGUCCGAGCGUCAUGCGUCCCGUCGGGGGCCCCGCUUGCGGGGUCCCUCGGAGCUGGGCCUCGUGGGCCCGUCCCCGGUCGAGGGGCGGCCACGUGCCUGAAAUUCAGAAGUGGAGCAGCCCUGCGGAAGGCCGAGCGAGCGAGGUAAAACACGCCAUCGCCUGCGUCCUUCGUGGGGUCUCCCUCCUCCCCUGGCCCCCCCCAAGGGCUCGGGUGGGGGAGCCACAAAGAUCAGUGACCGACCUCGGAUCAGGUAGGGAUACCCGCUGAACUUAA